GACGAACGCUGGCGGCGUGCCUAACACAUGUAAGUCGCACGGGACUGGAGGGCAACUUCCAGUUCAGUGGCAGACGGGUGCGUAACACGUGAGGAACCUGUCCGACGGCGGGGGAUAGCCGGCCCAACGGCCGGGUAAUACCGCAUACGAUCGUUCGGGGGCAUCCCUGAACGAGGAAAGCAGCCGCAAGGUUGCGCCGAUGGAGGGUCUCGCGGCCUAUCAGCUAGUUGGCGGGGUAAGGCCCACCAAGGCGACGACGGGUAGCUGGUCUGAGAGGAUGGCAGCCACAUUGGGACUGAGACACGGCCCAGACUCCUACGGGAGGCAGCAGCGGGGAAUCUUGCGCAAUGGCCGCAAGGCUGACGCAGCGACGCCGCGUGUGGGAUGACGGCCU
rnacentral:rRNA from 1 species